UACGAAGGGUGCAAACGUUGCUCGGAAUUAUUGGGCGUAAAGCGCACGUAGGCGGCAUUGCAAGUCGAUGUGAAAUCCCUCGGCUUAACCAAGGAAGUGCAUCCGAAACUGCAGUGCUUGAGUACUUAAGAGGAUCGCGGAAUUCCCGGUGUAGAGGUGAAAUUCGUAGAUAUCGGGAGGAACACCAGUGGCGAAGGCGGCGAUCUGGGAAGAUACUGACGCUGAGGUGGCGAAAGCGUGGGGAGCAAACAGGG
rnacentral:rRNA from 1 species